rnacentral:rRNA from 1 species
GUCCAUGCCGUAAACGUUGUGCACUAGGUGUGGGGAGGAAUCAACCCUUUCCGCGCCGUAGCUAACGCAUUAAGUGCCCCGCCUGGGGAGUACGGCCGCAAGGCUAAAACUCAAAGGAAUUGACGGGGGCCCGCACAAGCGGCGGAGCAUGUUGCUUAAUUCGAGGCAACGCGAAGAACCUUACCUGGGUUUGACAUGUAGGGAAAAGCCGUAGAAGAUACGGUGUCCUUCGGGGCCCUACACAGGUGGUGCAUGGCUGUCGU